GACGAACGCUGGCGGCGUGCUUAACACAUGCAAGUCGAACGAAGUGGCGAACGGGUGAGUAACGCGUAAUCAACCUGCCCUUCAGAGGGGGAUAACAGUUGGAAACGACUGCUAAUACCGCAUACUGAAGGAGUGGAUUGCGUCUGAUUAGCUAGUUGGAGGGGUAACGGCCCACCAAGGCGAUGAUCAGUAGCCGGGCUGAGAGGAAGAACGGCCAAAUUGGGACUGGGACACGGCCCAGACUCCUACGGGGAGCAGCAGGGGGGAAUCUUCCGCAAUGGACGAAAGUCUGACGGAGCAACGCCGCGGGAGUGAUGACGGCCUUCGGGGUGGAAAGCUCUGUUAAGCGGGACGCGGUACCGGAAGAGAAAGCCACGGCUAACUACGUGCCAGCAGCCGCGGUAAUAC
rnacentral:rRNA from 1 species